rnacentral:rRNA from 1 species
AGGAUCAUUACCGAAUUGUUAACAAGAGUUGUUGCUGGUCCCCAUACGGGGGCACGUGCACACUCUGUUUACACAUCCACUCACACCUGUGCACCCUCUGUAGUUCUAUGGCCUGGGUGGGCUCUGUCCCUCCUGCUGUGGUUCUACGUCUUUACACACACACUACAACAAAGUCUCAUGGAAUGUAUGUCGCGUUUAAUGCAAUGAAAUACAACUUUCAGCAACGGAUCUCUUGGCUCUCGCAUCGAUGAAGAACGCAGCGAAAUGCGAUAAGUAAUGUGAAUUGCAGAAUUCAGUGAAUCAUCGAAUCUUUGAACGCACCUUGCGCCCUUUGGCUAUUCCGAAGGGCAUGCCUGUUUGAGUAUCAUGAACACCUCAACUCUCAUGGCUUGCCAUGAUGAGCUUGGACUUUGGGGGUCUUGUUGGUCUGUGAGCCAGCUCCUCUUAAAUGAAUUAGCUUGCCAGUGUUUGGUGGCGUCACAGGUGUGAUAACUAUCUACGCUUGUGUUUUCCCACCAGGUAACCUCCAGCAAUGGAGGUUCACUGGAGCUUAUAAACGUCUCUCCCAUGCGAAGACACAUUUUGACCAUUUGAUCUCAAAUCAGGUAGGACUACCCGCUGAACUUAAGCAUAUCAAUAAGCGGAGGAAAAGAAACUAACAAGGAUUCCCCUAGUAACUGCGAGUGAAGCGGGAAGAGCUCAAAUUUAAAAUCUGGCUGCCUCUGGCUGUCCGAGUUGUAGUCUGGAGAAGCGUUUUCCGUGUUGGACCGUGUAUAAGUCUCUUGGAACAGGGCGUCAUA